rnacentral:lncRNA from 1 species
CACAACUUGCCUGAGAUUUGAGAUUUCAGGUACCAACUUGCUCUUCAGGUGACACGUGUCCUCACUGCUAAACGUAGCAAUACAGACAAACAUGGUAUAGGUAAAAUUAACAUCACACCAAACAUAAUAAUACAUUGCAUAAUAAUAAUCUACGCGUCACAAUGAGAUCGUGGGAACGUGAAUCACUAAAUUCGGAGUUACGGUUGUUUAGGAAUUUCUGAAGUUAUUUAAUACCUAGAAUAGAGUUAUUCAUGUUAAUAAUUUUAAAUCAAGUUUCAUGGUUAGACAAAGGUACUAGGUAGAAAAAUACUUAAACAAAAUUAAUGCCACUGGAAUGAAUCAAUUUGGAGCUAAAUUCAUCAAGUUAUGAAUUUCCUAAGUUUGGGACAUUAUUUUGCAUUAAAAAGAAUUUCUGUAUUUAAUUUAAUAGAUUUUCUGAGUUACUUGGACUGCAGCCACUAUUUAACAGAAACCCUGGGGGGUUCUGCGCAAAAGACACCAAGACUCAGAACUCCCACAGUGUGGACUGCGGGUUGUUUAUAGUUAAAUAGGAGGUCUCUUUUGCAAAACGCGCAGGUCGAAAGGGUAUCAGUUAAUUCUAGCCGUUGGAUCCUGCAUCAAGGGCCACGAUUAAAUUUUCUUACCACCGAACCAGAACGCGAUCGCAGCCAUCGAAUCAACGAUCAACGACCCGAAGGAUUAUACGCCUAGAUCUAAUAUGUGCCCUCCGCAAUCGAUCCAACGGUCCAUGGCGCAUCAUCGUCCCCAGCUAGUGUCAUGGUGGUGCACAGACCCUUCCUCGCCGGCGCAAUGCUUGCCAGCGACAUGGCCCCGGCGAGCGGCGGACCGGUCAGCCCAGCCUGAAAUUCAAGAACGAACGAGAUCUAUGCACUGUGCGUAGUUUAGACGAUGACGAAACCCAUAGGGGAAUUCUUACCGGUAGAUUUGGAUGCCACAGCGUCGCACGCGACGAUCAACAUCCCGACGGCAAUGCAUCUGUUUCGACGAAGGAUCGCAUGCACAUCGGCUACUCCAGUCGCUAAGCGCCCGUGAUGAGGCCACGAUGUGCGCGACAUUCACCGGUUGUCAUCCACCAGCGCCACAGGAACGACACCAGAGCUAGCGCGCAAAUCGACAUCCAUGUGCUCCAGGCAAUAUUCUAUGGAGAGCUAGCGAUGUGGAGACACCCCAGGUGUGGCGGCUCCCCUAUAUCUCCCUGGCAUGAAUCACCAGGUGCUAGCGCUC